UGGGGAAUCUUAGACAAUGGGGGAAACCCUGAUCUAGCCAUGCCGCGUGAGCGAUGAAGGCCUUAGGGUUGUAAAGCUCUUUCAGCUGGGAAGAUAAUGACGGUACCAGCAGAAGAAGCCCCGGCUAACUCCGUGCCAGCAGCCGCGGUAAUACGGAGGGGGCUAGCGUUGUUCGGAAUUACUGGGCGUAAAGCGCACGUAGGCGGAUUGAAAAGUUGGGGGUGAAAUCCCGGGGCUCAACCUCGGAACUGCCUCCAAAACUAUCAGUCUUGAGUUCGAGAGAGGUGAGUGGAAUUCCGAGUGUAGAGGUGAAAUUCGUAGAUAUUCGGAGGAACACCAGUGGCGAAGGCGGCUCACUGGCUCGAUACUGACGCUGAGGUGCGAAAGCGUGGGGAGCAAACAGG
rnacentral:rRNA from 2 species